UACGGAGGAUGCGAGCGUUAUCCGGAUUUAUUGGGUUUAAAGGGUGCGUAGGCGGUCCGUUAAGUCAGCGGUAAAAUUGCGGGGCUCAACCCCGUCGAGCCGUUGAAACUGGCAGACUUGAGUUGGCGAGAAGUACGCGGAAUGCGCGGUGUAGCGGUGAAAUGCAUAGAUAUCGCGCAGAACUCCGAUUGCGAAGGCAGCGUACCGGCGCCACACUGACGCUGAGGCACGAAAGCGUGGGGAUCGAACAGG
rnacentral:rRNA from 2 species